rnacentral:rRNA from 1 species
UUGCCCUACGGGAGGCAGCAGUGGGGAAUAUUGCACAAUGGGGGAAACCCUGAUGCAGCGACGCCGCGUGAGCGAAGAAGUAUUUCGGUAUGUAAAGCUCUAUCAGCAGGGAAGAAAAAUGACGGUACCUGAGUAAGAAGCACCGGCUAAAUACGUGCCAGCAGCCGCGGUAAUACGUAUGGUGCAAGCGUUAUCCGGAUUUACUGGGUGUAAAGGGUGCGUAGGCGGCCUGCUAAGUCUGGAGUGAAAGGUACCGGCUCAACCGGUACAGGCUCUGGAAACUGGCGGGCUAGAGAGCAGGAGAG